UUGCAAAAGAACAAGAUAAGCAGGACAAAAUAGUUCCCCACCAGAGCAACCAGCACUCCACAAGUAGCAGCCAUGCCCUAGACCCCAGACACAAUCUACAUUCCUUUAUGAAGCUUGCCUUCAAGUAGCCAGGCACUAAAAUUAG